rnacentral:rRNA from 1 species
GACGAACGCUGGCGGCGUGCUUAACACAUGCAAGUCGAACGGAAAGGCCCCCUUGUGGGGUACUCGAGUGGCGAACGGGUGAGUAACACGUGAGUAACCUACCCUUGACUUUGGGAUAACUUCAGGAAACUGGGGCUAAUACCGGAUAGGAGCUCCUGCUGCAUGGUGGGGGUUGGAAAGUUUCGGCGGUUGGGGAUGGACUCGCGGCUUAUCAGCUUGUUGGUGGGGUGGUGGCUCACCAAGGCUUUGACGGGUAGCCGGCCUGAGAGGGUGACCGGCCACAUUGGGACUGAGAUACGGCCCAGACUCCUACGGGAGGCAGCAGUGGGGAAUAUUGCACAAUGGGCGGAAGCCUGAUGCAGCAACGCCGCGUGCGGGAUGACGGCCUUCGGGUUGUAAACCGCUUUCGCCUGUGACGAAGCGUGAGUGACGGUAAUGGGUAAAGAAGCACCGGCUAACUACGUG